GCUUUUGUGGUGUAAUGGUAGCACACUCGGCGCGUAUUCGAGAGGUCCAGGUUCGAGUCCUGGGGAGGGCA
rnacentral:tRNA from 1 species